rnacentral:rRNA from 1 species
GUGUCAGCCGCCGCGGUAAUACGGAGGGUGCAAGCGUUGUUCGGAAUUACUGGGCGUAAAGCGCGUGUAGGUGGUUCGGUAAGUCGAAUGUGAAAGCCCCGGGCUCAACCCGGGAAGUGCAUCCGAAACUGCCGAACUAGAGUCCCGGAGAGGAAGGCAGAAUUCCCAAUGUAGGGGUGAAAUCCGUAGAUAUUGGGAGGAAUACCGGUGGCGAAGGCGGCCUUCUGGACGGUGACUGACACUCAGACGCGAAAGCGUGGGGAGCAAACAGGAUUAGAAACCCGCGUAGUCC